AACUUUCAACAACGGAUCUCUUGGCUCUGGCAUCGAUGAAGAACGCAGCGAAAUGCGAUAAGUAAUGCGAAUUGCAGAAUUCAGUGAAUCAUCGAAUCUUUGAACGCACAUUGCGCCCGCUAGUAUUCUGGCGGGCAUGCCUGUCUGAGCGUCAUUUCAACCCUCGCGCCCGGCUCUUUUGCCGGAUGCGGUGUUGGGGAUCGGCCUGCCGUCUGACGGCGGGCCGGCCCCGAAAUGGAGUGGCGACCACGCCGUAGCCUCCUCUGCGUAGUAAUUUAAUUCUCGCAGGCGGAGAGCGGUGCGGUCACGCCGUUAAACCCCCAAACUUUACCAAGGUUGACCUCAGAUCAGGUAGGAAUACCCGCUGAACUUAAGCAUAUCAAUAAGCGGAGGC
rnacentral:misc_RNA from 1 species